GCUUCAAGAGAGGGGAGAAGAGACAACUGAGUUGGCACUGGAGAGUCACCUUGCUCAAUUCAUCACAUCUCUAAAAGUACAGUGAGCAACCAAUCCUGGAAUGACCAGGCAGGAAAUGGGUGCAGACCACCCAGCUACCUUCCCGUUGUCUUUUUUGGACUUAACGUUACCACUGUUACCCAAUGCGGUCUUUGUUAUGAGUCACCUCGCGUUUUCUUCAAGUAACUAAUGAAAUGAGACACUAAGACACAACUCACCCUUACAAAGUGCUUCUAAUGGCUUGAAAAGGAUCAACUACAAAAACACUCUUCAUCAGGAAAAGCUGCUAAGAAUCACAGCCAUGAAAACAGCCCAGCAGAACAAAAGUACUCACGCUGGGGAAGGACCGUCUCAAGCCCCACUCCCUUGUGUCAGGAAGACAGCCGGCUAGAGGGACUCAUGUACCUUCCCGAGCGAGAGACCCGAAGAAACACAGGGAACCCGACGUAGGAACCUGCGAACCGUGUGCCCUGAGGUUACAGUACUGGACUCAAUUCCCCUUGGCGUCUGUACUUGCAGAGAGACUUAGGGGCUACUAGUGAGGUGCUCAGCCCCGAAGGGGACAACCCAUGGGGCCACCAUUGCUGGUAAGCUGCUGGUCUCCAUGGGCAAAGACUCACAGAACCAACUACCAGGUGUUCUAAUGAGGGGGUGCUAGAGGGAUGAGAAAUUAAUCAACACUUUAAUUUUAUGAUGGAGACGACAAAGAACGUGUAAGGGGAUACCUAAAAGGGUAUUUACUGAAGCAUUUUAGAAUAGUGGGGGAAAAGCAACAGAAAAAAUAAGAGAAACACCCCACAAAGCCAGUGACCUCACAGAACAGAAUCGGAACGGCAUAGGAUGAGCUCAGAGUGGCCCAGGCUCUUUGGAAAAACCAUGGAGUAGCCGUCAGGAGAUGGUCACUGAAGCUAGGAAAGGAAGUGAGAGCUACUGACAGGCAAACAGGCGAUACGUAAAAGGAGGCAGAAGAGUGGACAGUCCUUUGCAGUGCGGCCAGGAAGGCCCAGAAAGCCAGCUGUGGGGCUCUGGCCAAGGAAGGCUCUGAGCAAGCUGUCUCUACAGCACACGAACUCUCCACUGCUGGCCUUGUAAAUGGCCAGUUCCCUAGAGAGGCAGUGAUGAAGGCCAGACAAUGUCACGAAGCUCCUCGAAUCCAGGCCAUCAGCUGGGAGCUGAGGCCUCAGCUUCCUGAAUGCUGGGAUACAGGCAUGUGUCAUUUGGCUCGGAGGAUCGAUCCUUUGAAAAUAUCGGGAAGAAAGGGAAGCAGCAAAGAGAUGGACCCUGACCAAAUUCCGCCUGACAGGACAACAGGGCCGGGAACCAAGCACUCCGACUUUAAAGCAGCACUACGGUCUUACAGAAAGGACCAAUUCAAACACAGGCCCAUCUGAGUCGUGAGGACCAUCCGAAACACAGAGGCCUCUGUUUCUUAAAGGGGGACUACCAUUAUCUCAUGUGCACUCUGACUCACAAGUGGAUAGACAUUAAAAAAUAAUUUCCACAAA